rnacentral:rRNA from 1 species
CAGCAGCCGCGGUAAUACGGAGGGAGCUAGCGUUGUUCGGAAUCACUGGGCGUAAAGCGCACGUAGGCGGCUAUUCAAGUCAGGGGUGAAAGCCCGGGGCUCAACCCCGGAACUGCCUUUGAAACUAGAUAGCUUGAAUCUUGGAGAGGCGAGUGGAAUUCCGAGUGUAGAGGUGAAAUUCGUAGAUAUUCGGAAGAACACCAGUGGCGAAGGCGACUCGCUGGACAAGUAUUGACGCUGAGGUGCGAAAGCGUGGGGAGCAAACAGGAUUAGAUACCCCUGUAGUCCCUGUCUCUUAUAC